rnacentral:rRNA from 1 species
AACGCGCAGCGAGAGGUGCUUGCACCUUUCAAGCGAGUGGCGAACGGGUGAGUAACACGUGGAUAACCUGCCUCAAGGCUGGGGAUAACAUUUGGAAACAGAUGCUAAUACCGAAUAAAACUUAGUAUCGCAUGAUAUCAAGUUAAAAGGCGCUACGGCGUCACCUAGAGAUGGAUCCGCGGUGCAUUAGUUAGUUGGUGGGGUAAAGGCUUACCAAGACGAUGAUGCAUAGCCGAGUUGAGAGACUGAUCGGCCACAUUGGGACUGAGACACGGCCCAAACUCCUACGGGAGGCUGCAGUAGGGAAUCUUCCACAAUGGGCGCAAGCCUGAUGGAGCAACGCCGCGUGUGUGAUGAAGGCUUUCGGGUCGUAAAGCACUGUUGUAUGGGAAGAAAUGCUAAAAUAGGGAAUGAUUUUAGUUUGACGGUACCAUACCAGAAAGGGACGGCUAAAUACGUGCCAGCAGCCGCGGUAAUACGUAUGUCCCGAGCGUUAUCCGGAUUUAUUGGGCGUAAAGCGAGCGCAGACGGUUAUUUAAGUCUGAAGUGAAAGCCCUCAGCUCAACUGAGGAAUUGCUUUGGAAACUGGAUGACUUGAGUGCAGUAGAGGAAAGUGGAACUCCAUGUGUAGCGGUGAAAUGCGUAGAUAUAUGGAAGAACACCAGUGGCGAAGGCGGCUUUCUGGACUGUAACUGACGUUGAGGCUCGAAAGUGUGGGUAGCAAACAGGAUUAGAUACCCUGGNAGUCCACNNCCGUAAACGAUGAGUGCUAGG